AUUGAACGCUGGCGGCAGGCCUAACACAUGCAAGUCGAACGAGUGGCGGACGGGUGAGUAAUGUCUGGGAAACUGCCUGAUGGAGGGGGAAACCUACUGGAAACGGUAGCUAAUACCGCUUACCAUCAAAUGUGCCCAGAGGGGAUUAGCUAGUCGGUGGGGUAAAGGCCCCCCAAGGCGACGAACCCUAGCUGGUCUGAGAGGAUUACCGGCGACACUGGAACUGAGACACGGUCCAGACUCCUACGGGAGGCAGCAGUGGGGAAUAUUGCACAAUGGGCGCAAGCCGGAUGCAGCCAUGCCGCGUGUAUGAAGAAGGCCUUCGGGUUGUAAAGUACUUGCAGCGGGGAGGCGUUACCCGCAGAAGAAGCACCGGCUAACUCCGUGCCAGCAGCCGCGGUAAUAC
rnacentral:rRNA from 1 species